UACAGAGACCUCAAGCGUUAUCCGGAAUCAUUGGGCGUAAAGCGUACCGAUAGGUGGUCAUACAAGUCAGAAGUGAAAUCUCCGAGCUCAACUCGGAAUCUGUCUUUUGAAACUGUACGACUAGAGGGGCAAAGAGGAAGCUGGAACAAACGGUGUAGUAGUGAAAUGCGUUGAUAUCGUUUGGAACACCAAUAGCGAAGGCGGGCUUCUGGGUGCCACCUGACACUGCUAGGACGAAAGCGUGGGGAGCGAAUGGG
rnacentral:rRNA from 1 species